GAUGUACUCCCUCCGUCCGAAAAUACUUGUCAUCAAAAUGGAUAAAAAGGGAUGUAUCUAGAACUAAUAUACAUCUAGAUACAUCCUCUUCUAUUCAUUUUGAUGACAAGUAUUUCCGGACGGAGGGAGUAUAUU
rnacentral:pre_miRNA from 1 species